CUCUGAUACUUUUUUUUCUAGUUAGACCAGGGUUUCAUUGCUCGAGUACACAGAUUUAAUGCAACCAGAGGCUGUGGAUGACCUAUUUCCAAGUACGGGUGGGGACUCGUUUGGUCUUAAGAUAUCAAGCCAACUGGUAAAUACACUUUUCAGGAAUCACUCGGAAUUUAGCAUCCUUAUCCUUUCUGUUCCUCUCAAGAUGCUAUGAAACAGCAAUAGCUUUCUUGCUCAAUUGGUACAGAUCCUCAGGAAAAUCAGGAGCAAGUCUUUCGGAUCUAAGAAUUCUCGAGGUUUUACUGCCUGUCACAAAACAUACGUAUGCAACACCAUGUGAGUGUCUCAGGGUCACACUGAUUUCUGAGUCAGGCCCUUCCUGGCCAGUUUGUCCAGCUGCUCCUUCCGGGCAUCAGAUGUCAACUUCAUACAGGUGGGGAUAUUGCAGCACUAAGGCAGAGCCGACUGGGGCAGGCCCUUCCCGGGGUGUGCCUGCGCCCCAGGAGAGUGGCAGUCAGGCAGCAAAAAAUACUUGGAUACUUUGCAAAGGUGUUCCUGCAAAAGUAUUUCAUUUUCAGGGUGAUUCGAGGAAAGGACUUUGGACAAGCACAGGUUUCUGACAACUUUAAGAUCAUAAAACUGAACUGGAUAAGAGUUUCCAGAACUGAUGGAAAAAACUGGAUUCAAGCAGAACAAGAAUUAAUUAUAUGGGACCGAAUGAACUGAGGCGAGUGAUUACGAUCUUUAUGAAACAGUGCUUAUUCUCUGAUGUUUUGGUCUUCCAGAUUUAAGGAAACCUUUUCUCUCAAGCUAUCUAUGACUUAAAACAAUUUGAUAAAGUACACCUCUGUAAACAAAGAUAAAAUAUUUACUCUGUCUCCCUACCUGUCCCCUCCAGACUUCUGAAAUGCUUUUGAGUAUUUUUUUAUGGCAAUAGUUAUUUGCAUAGGCCUAUAACAAUCUGUUCUUGUAACAGGACACAACUGACAACAUUGGUUAUGUUACCAAGGCUUAGACUGGAUUAUCAUAUUUGAAAAAGAUGCACAUAGACUCAAAUAUGGCCAGGCAGUUUUAAGGAACUAGAAUUGACUUUCCAGAGCCAAUAAAGCCCCUUGGGGAAAAAAAAAUCAACCUGGUACCUUGUUUAAAAGGUACCAGCAAAGCAGUCUUUUGUAACAGCUUAUAUGUUCCAUCACUAUUCUCGCUACACUUAUGUAAAUAAUCAUGUAAAUAAUCAGGCCAAAUUUAAUGCAAACAAACUACUUUUACUAUGAUUAUCUUUCGUAAAAAAAUGAGGGCGAAUGUAGAGAGAAAAAUUACAUUUGCACUUCUGUCGACAUGGAGACAUCUAGUCCUGUCAAUUGUCUUUGAGAUUUUGUUAUAUACCUGUUCAACUGGACUGAAUCCUGAAUUCUUCUGGUUUCCUCAAAUACCUGGCGAGGAUUCACCAAACUAACAUUUCUAAUUUUCUCCCACCUUGAUGAGGAUCCACUAAGAACAAGGCCCCCGUGAAUCUCCUCUGAAGGGCCAAGACCAGCUCCUCACUGAAGUUCACGGACUUGAACCUUGGAUACACGUGUCACAGCUGAAGAGGGCUGCGCCUCCCAUCAGGUCCUGGAGACCCUGGAGACCUCUAAUCAAAUGCGCGAGGAAGAGAAGCAGUGGACAUCGAGGUAGACUGCUUCCUCCCAAGAGGCCAGAUCGAUACUCCAUCCUUGAACUAAACGUCAAACCCUCUCUUCCUCUUCCUUCCUGUGCUCUGGCACGGGCCUGGGAAGAUAAUGCCGUCACGUGUAUCUCCCAGGCCACUGCUGAUGCAGGUAACCUCGACCUCAGAACAUGUUACUUCAGGCUGAAUGCUCUGAACCCCUAACUGACCGCUGGCAUCAUCAGGCAAAUGUAACAAUCCCCGUGAAUGAAUCCAUUUGCAGCCACCUCCACGGGAAGUCUGUGCCCUCACAGGGUCUGCCUCUGUCUGUCUGGUGGGGUUCUCACUCUCCCUGGUCCAUGAAUGCCUAGACAGUGGGCAUGACCGAACAGUACCCCUCGGGUUAUCUAAUGUUGUCGUAACUGUUCACAGACUGAGACAACAAGCUGGUCAACUUCCCUGAGUUUACACCAUUGAGAUAAAAAGGUCAACCAGAGGGCAUUCAUAAUUCGAAAUUAGCUUCUGUGGGUAGGUCACCGUUUCCUUGGAGUGCAGAUGAGGCUGUGACCCGGAACAACACCUUAACUCAUGAACACGUUGAGUAAUCUGGCGCUGAAACAAUGCCUGACCAGCAAAAAUGCUUAGACUUUCUGGCCAAAGUUAUGCUUAGUAAUAGGAGAGUCUUUGAUUAUCUUUUAGCUGAACAAGAUGUCUAUACUGGGGACACCACCACCUGCUGCAUCUGGAGCAUGACUUCUGGAGAAACUGGAACUCAGUUAUGUAAGAAUUACCUCCCUUAAGUUUGUACUUUAAAGAGGUGGCCGAGAAAAGAGUUAACAUUUAUCCCUCAAAGGCACAGGGAAAGAAUCUACCUUCCUGCAAGAAGGAUUCUGGUUCCUAAGGACAAUACUUAGGAGCCUUUUGAGAUUAUUCUGCUGAUAGGUCAACUGACAGGGAAAUAUCAAAGGAGAGAAAAACUCAUUCUCAAUACAGAAAACCACUUGUGCAGGAGGUCUGCCUUUGUGCCUUUUAUACGUAAAAUAAUUCUGUUGGAAAGCAAACACACAGCACCUCAUUUCAGGAUGAUGUUCAUCUGUUUUGAUUCUGAUCUGAGUCGUUUAAGCCAAAUACAGGAAGCUCAUGUGUGAUGCUAGGGUCUCCAGGGUGAUGGCUUCCUACCUGCAACAGUCGCCAGCAGCAGCAGUGAAGAGAGCA